ACAGACAUGGCGGCUAUGGAUUAGCCUUUAGAGUCGAGCGAGAAGGAUCCGGGGCUUGCACUGGAUCUGGACACGCGGCGAAAGGGAGAGNAACGCGNAGGGCAUCUGCCCCCAGGCCUGGGAUAGCGGCGGGAAACUGCGACCUAAUACCGGAUAAUGUCUCCGGACCAAAGGUGAGAUUCCGCCUGGGGAUGGCCCUGCGUCCUAUUAGCUUGUUGGUGAGGUAAUGGCUCACCAAGGCAAAGAUGUUUAGCAAGCGUGAGUACGUGGCCCGUCUCACUGGGACUGAGACACUGCCCAGACACCUACGGGUGAUUGCAGUCGAGAAUCUUCCGCAAUGGACGAAAGUCUGACGGAGCGACGCCGCGUGCGGGAUGAAGGCCUUCGGGUUGUAAUACGCUGUCAGUGGGGUGGAAAUCUUUGAGGGCUAUCCCUCUUAGUUGAGGUAACCGCAGGAUAAGUCCGGGCUAAGUACGUGCCAGCAGCCGCGGUACACGUAUUGGACGAAUAUUAUUCGGAAUUACUCGCUUAAAGAGUGCGUAGGCGGCUUAACAGGUGGGGUGUGAAAUCCCACGGCUCAACCGUGGAAUUGCGCUCCAAACCGUUAGGCUUGAGGGAGACAGGGGUGAGCGUCUGAUGGUGUAGCGGUGAAAUGCGUUGAUAUCAUCAGGAACAUCGGUGGCGAAGGCGGUCACUGGGUCUCUUCUGACGCUGAGGCACGAAAGCUAGGGUAGCGAACGGGAUUAGAUACCCCGGAUGUCCUAGCUGCCAAACGAUGAGCACUAGAUCGUGGGGACUUCCACAUCCUCUCGGUCGUAGCGAAAGUGUUAAGUGCUCCGCCUGGGGAGUAUGGUUAUCAAGGCCCAACUCAAAGGAAUUGACGGGGGCUCACAAUCGCGGUGGAGGAUGUGGCUUAAUUCAGGCUACGCGAAUAUCUUAUCCUGGUCUUGACAUGCUUGGGAAUACCCGUGAUAUACGUAGUGCCUUUCGGGGAGCUAUUUGCACAGGUGCUGCAUGGCUGUCGUCAGCUCGUGUCGUGAGAUGUCGGGUUAAGUCCCUUAACGAGCGAAACCCUUAUCUCUAGUUGCCAGCGUGUAAUGGCGGGGACUCUAGAGAGACUGCCCGUUAACCCGGAGGAAGGCUUACCGGAUGACGUCAAGUCCUCAUGGCCUUUAUGACCAGGGCUGCACAUUCCUACAAUGCGUACAUACAAAGGGAAGCAACCUCGCGAGAGCAACCCAUCCCAAAAAGUGGCGCUCAGUUCGGAUUGCAGGCUGCAACUCGCCUGCAUCAUAGCCGGAUACGCUAGUAAUCGUACGUCAGCAUACCACGGUGAAUAUGUUCCCAGCCUUGUACACACCUACGUCAAGCCACGAAAGUGGGGUGCGCCCGAAGUCGCCGAGCUAACCCGUAAGGGAAGCAAGAUAGGGAAGGUGAACUCCGCGAUUGGGUAUAUGGACUA
rnacentral:rRNA from 1 species